rnacentral:lncRNA from 1 species
GAAGACAGCGGAAGCAGUAGAGAUAGGACUAGGUGUUGGUGCAUUGGUGGCACAAGUGGCGGAGACGACAGUCGGAGACGAAGGCCGGAGACGGUGGCCGGAGACGGUGCCGGCGGCGGUACGGCGGCAGGUGGCGGCUAGUGGCGAGCGGCAACGGGCAGUGGCGGACAGCAACACCGAACAGAUGUGAGACAGAAACCAGAGAUUGCCCAUUUAAGUAUAAAGGCACAUGUUGAAAAAGAAACUUUUAGGGGGGUAACAAAGACAAAGUAGAAAAGGAUCAAAAAACCUGCUCUGAUACCAAGUUGAAUAUAGUAAAAACUCCCUUGUGUUAAACACACACAUAGGGUUCUCUAUUUAUAAUAGAAGAAAUAUGGGAUAAGCGCAAAAUAGAAAUAAGAAAUAAUAACAAACUAACUAAAAGAUAAAAGAUAAAUAUAAACUAAAUAUAAUAUCUCUAACAAUAAUAAAGUUGAAUUCAAUAAAAAAAAGUAGAUACUUGAG